GAUGAACGCUGGCGGCGUGCCUAAUACAUGCAAGUCGAGCGAACAGACGAGGAGCUUGCUCCUCUGACGUUAGCGGCGGACGGGUGAGUAACACGUGGAUAACCUACCUAUAAGACUGGGAUAACUUCGGGAAACCGGAGCUAAUACCGGAUAAUAUAUUGAACCGCAUGGUUCAAUAGUGAAAGACGGUUUUGCUGUCACUUAAAGAUGGAUCCGCGCCGCAUUAGCUAGUUGGUAAGGUAACGGCUUACCAAGGCGACGAUGCGUAGCCGACCUGAGAGGGUGAUCGGCCACACUGGAACUGAGACACGGUCCAGACUCCUACGGGAGGCAGCAGUAGGGAAUCUUCCGCAAUGGGCGAAAGCUUGACGGAGCAACGCCGCGUGAGUGAUGAAGGUCUUCGGAUCGUAAAACUCUGUUAUUAGGGAAGAACAAAUGUGUAAGUAACUAUGCACGUCUUGACGGUACCUAAUCAGAAAGCCACGGCUAACUACGUG
rnacentral:rRNA from 1 species